rnacentral:rRNA from 1 species
CACUCCUGCGGGAGGCAGCAGUGGGGAAUAUUGGACAAUGGGCGCAAGCCUGAUCCAGCCAUGCCGCGUGAGUGAUGAAGGCCCUAGGGUUGUAAAGCUCUUUCACCGGUGAAGAUAAUGACGGUAACCGGAGAAGAAGCACCGGCUAACUUCGUGCCAGCAGCCGCGGUAAUACGAAGGGGGCUAGCGUUGUUCGGAUUUACUGGGCGUAAAGCGCACGUAGGCGGACUAUUAAGUCAGGGGUGAAAUCCCGGGGCUCAACCCCGGAACUGCCUUUGAUACUGGUAGUCUUGAGUUCGAGAGAGGUGAGUGGAAUUCCGAGUGUAGAGGUGAAAUUCGUAGAUAUUCGGAGGAACACCAGUGGCGAAGGCGGCUCACUGGGUCGAUACUGACGCUGAGGUGCGAAAGCGUGGGGAGCAAACAGGAUUAGAAACCCGUGUAGUCCC